rnacentral:rRNA from 1 species
UACGAAGGGGGCAAGCGUUGUCCGGAUUUAUUGGGCGUAAAGCGCGCGUAGGCGGCUUGGCAAGUCAGAUGUGAAAACUCGAGGCUCAACCUCGAGAUGUCGGUGGAAACUGCCUGGCUAGAGUCCGGAAGAGGAGUGUGGAAUUCCUGGUGUAGCGGUGAAAUGCGCAGAUAUCAGGAAGAACACCUAUGGCGAAGGCGGCACUCUGGGCAGUUACUGACGCUGAGACGCGAAAGCGUGGGGAGCUAACAGG